CUUUUAGGAGCUAGCCGUCGAAGGUGGGACAAAUGAUUGGGGUGAAGUCGUAACAAGGUAGCCGUAUCGGAAGGUGCGGCUGGAUCACCUCCUUU
rnacentral:rRNA from 1 species